rnacentral:rRNA from 1 species
GACGAACGCUGGAGGCGUGCUUAACACAUGCAAGUCGAACGAUGAAAUGGAGCUUGCUCCAUGGAUUAGAGGCGAACGGGUGAGUAACACGUGAAUAACCUGCCCUUAAUUUUGGAAUAACCCAGGGAAACCUGGGCUAAUACCGGAUAAGUAAACCUGUGGCAUCACAUGGUUUUGGAAAGUUUUUCGAUUAAGGAUGGAUUCGCGGCCUAUCAGCUUGUUGGUGAGGUAAGGGCUCACCAAGGCGACGACGGGUAGCCGGCCUGAGAGGGUGAACGGCCACACGAGGACUGAGACACGGCACAGACUCCUACGGGAGGCAGCGGUGGGGAAUAUUGCGCAAUGGACGGAAGUCUGACGCAGCGACGCCUCGUGAGGGGCGGAGGUCUUCGGAUUGUAAACCUCUUUCAGCAGGGACGAAGAGAAAGUGACGGUACCUGCAGAAGAAGCACCGGCUAACUAUGUGCCAGCAGCCGCGGUAA